UACGGGGGGAGCAAGCGUUGUUCGGAUUUACUGGGCGUAAAGGGCGCGUAGGCGGCCUCCGCAAGUCAAUUGUGAAAUCUCCGGGCUAACUCGGAAAGGUCAACUGAUACUGCGGGGCUAGAGUGCGGAAGGGGCAACUGGAAUUCUUGGUGUAGCGGUGAAAUGCGCAGAUAUCAGGAGGAACACCAGUGGCGAAGGCGCCACUCUGGGCCGAAACUGACGCUGAGGAGCGAAAGCGUGGGUAGCAAACAGG
rnacentral:rRNA from 1 species